rnacentral:rRNA from 1 species
AGAGUUUGAUCCUGGCUCAGGAUGAACGCUGGCGGCGUGCCUAACACAUGCAAGUCGAACGAGACUGAUUAGAUUGAGAUUUCGGUUGAUUUCUAUGAAAGUCGAGUGGCGGACGGGUGAGUAACGCGUGGGUAACCUGCCUUACAGAGGGGGAUAACAGUUUGAAAAGACUGCUAAUACCGCAUAAGCACACAGUACCGCAUGGUACGGGGUGAAAAGAUUUAUCGCUGUAAGAUGGACCCGCGUCUGAUUAGCUAGUUGGCAGGGUAACGGCCUACCAAGGCGACGAUCAGUAGCCGACCUGAGAGGGUGAUCGGCCACAUUGGGACUGAGACACGGCCCAAACUCCUACGGGAGGCAGCAGUGGGGGAUAUUGCACAAUGGAGGAAACUCUGAUGCAGCGACGCCGCGUGAGUGAAGAAGUAUUUCGGUAUGUAAAGCUCUAUCAGCAGGGAAGAUAAUGACAGUACCUGACUAAGAAGCCCCGGCUAACUACGUGCCAGCAGCCGCGGUAAUACGUAGGGGGCAAGCGUUAUCCGGAUUUACUGGGUGUAAAGGGAGCGUAGACGGAACGGCAAGUUUGAAGUGAAAUACCCGGGCUUAACCCGGGAACUGCUUUGAAAACUGUCGAUCUAGAGUGUCGGAGAGGUAAGUGGAAUUCCUGGUGUAGUAGUGAAAUGCGUAGAUAUCAGGAAGAACACCGGAGGCGAAGGCGGCUUACUGGACGAUAACUGACGUUGAGGCUCGAAAGCGUGGGGAGCAAACAGGAUUAGAUACCCUGGUAGUCCACGCCGUAAACGAUG